rnacentral:lncRNA from 1 species
UAUCCUAAACUAAGGCAGAUAUGUAGAGGUUUCUUCCAAAAUAUCAAUAACGUGUUGAGCUUGCAAUUAGUCUUCAUUCUACUCACUUUUACACCUGUGGAAAAGAGAAGAAAAUUAAGAUUGAUGAUGAUACUUUCAGAUUUGAUAGUUAAAAUAAAAACAACAUAAAUCACUAAAUAAACCUUCGGUAUUUCACGCACAAAACUUGCUCAAGGAAAU